CCCUCGGGUGUUGAGACAGCCCGUCGGCGGCCAACCUAACUCUUGUUUUUACACUGAAACUCUGAGCACAAAACAUAAAUGAAUCAAAACUUUCAACAACGGAUCUCUUGGUUCUGGCAUCGAUGAAGAACGCAGCGAAAUGCGAUAAGUAAUGUGAAUUGCAGAAUUCAGUGAAUCAUCGAAUCUUUGAACGCACAUUGCGCCCUCUGGUAUUCCGGAGGGCAUGCCUGUUCGAGCGUCAUUUCAACCCUCAAGCCUGGCUUGGUGAUGGGGCACUGCUUCUUACCCAAGAAGCAGGCCCUGAAAUUCAGUGGCGAGCUCGCCAGGACCCCGAGCGCAGUAGUUAAACCCUCGCUCUGGAAGGCCCUGGCGGUGCCCUGCCGUUAAACCCCCAACUUCUGAAAAUUUGACCUCGGAUCAGGUAGGAAUACCCGCUGAACUUAAGCAUAUCAAUAAGCGGAGGAAAAGAAACCAACAGGGAUUGCCCUAGUAACGGMGAGUGAAGCGGCAACAGCUCAAAUUUGAAAUCUGGCCUCGGCCCGAGUUGUAAUUUGCAGAGGAUGCUUCUGGCGCGGUGCCUUCCGAGUUCCCUGGAACGGGACGCCACAGAGGGUGAGAGCCCCGUAUGGUCGGACACCAAGCCUGUGUGAAGCUCCUUCGACGAGUCGAGUAGUUUGGGAAUGCUGCUCUAAAUGGGAGGUAAAUCUCUUCUAAAGCUAAAUACCGGCCAGAGACCGAUAGCGCACAAGUAGAGUGAUCGAAAGAUGAAAAGCACCUUGAAAAGGGGGUUAAAUAGUACGUGAAAUUGUUGAAAGGGAAGCACUUAUGACCAGACUUGGGCCGGGCGRCUCAUCAGGGGUUCUCCCCUGUGCMCUCCGCCCGGCACA
rnacentral:misc_RNA from 1 species